UCACCAAGUAGGUCCAUAUCAAAAUACUCGAACAAACUCUUAUGAACCACACCCGUAGCCGCGUAUUCUGGAUCACCUGCCCUCCCUGCAACCACGCCAUUUUAUCACUGCUCCUCCCCUGCACCGACACACUCUCCGAUCUGCCCACCUCCAUUUCUCCUCCCCUUCAGUCCUCAUCGCAGAGUCCUCAUUCCCGAAUCAAACCGAACAGUUUUUCGAGUGUUUUCUAAAUAGUUGUUAGAGUUGAUUGGGUCAAUCAAAAUUCAGUCGAACCUCCGAUCAAAUUCCGAUCACCAUAUCAAAACUACAGCCACCGGCAAGACGAGUCCAGCCAGCGCCGGUCACGCCCGGCCAAAGAAGGCGGGUCGCUUUCUCCGACCGUGGAGAUGGCGACCAGUUUGGGAUCUCCAGUUUGGGAUUGUUUGGGAUCUACACUGGGUGUUUGGGAUUGUAUUGGGUGUACUAGGAUUAAAUAAUACUUAGAACCCGCAGCUAGAAUAAGCUUUAAAACACCCAGUACAAUCCCAAACCGGCGACGAUCCGGCGUCGUGAUAGGCAGGGCAGGUGAAUCCCGAGAAAUGUGCGGUCUCAGCCUGGCCAACCAUGGGUGAAUGCGAGGUAGCCUCAUGGUGGGGCUUCCGCCCUGUCCGAUCUAACCCGCGAGAGAGAAUCAUGCCGCACAAACUGAAAACCAGGAGUUUCUUCCACCCUGUCCGAUCUAUGAAAUAUAUGCUCACGACGGAGUUGACGGCGUUGAGCCCGGCGGUGACUAGCGAAAGGAAGAGCGCCAUCCGGUUUGAGGCGAUACCUGCCAGCUGAACUAUGGUGGGGCUGUAAUACAUGACGGUGCACUGGAUCUACACUGGGUGUUUGGGAUUGUACACUUGGUCGCCAUCUCUUGGAGAUGGCGACCAGUUUGGUCACCAUCUCCACGAGCGGAGAAGGCGACCAGCCUUCUCCGGUUGGGCGUGACCGCGCCGGCAGGACUCAACUGGCGCCGAUGACUGUAGUUUUGAUUUCGUGACCGGAAUUUGAUCGGAGGUUCGCCGGAAGUUUGAUUGACCUGCAAUCACAGGUCACAAAUGAGUAAAAGGUUUUAUUUGUUCCAAAAUAACAAGUUUGAGUGCCUAAUUGGAUCUUUUUGAAGUUGGAGGACCUGAUUGCACAAUGUCCUAUAGUUUGAGGGUCUAUUUGACCCUUAUCCCUAAUAAAAUUAGUGUGUGAAAAAUAAAAUUUAAAAACAUAGCUCA